rnacentral:rRNA from 1 species
GGAAUAUUGGACAAUGGGCGAAAGCCUGAUCCAGCCAUGCCGCGUGUGUGAAGCAGGCCUUCGGGUUGUAAAGCACUUUUGUUGGGAAAGAAAAGCAGUCGGUUAAUACCCGAUUGUUCUGACGGUACCCAAAGAAUAAGCACCGGCUAACUUCGUGCCAGCACCCGCGGUAAUACGAAGGGUGCAAGCGUUACUCGGAAUUACUGGGCGUAAAGCGUGCGUAGGUAGUUCGUUAAGUCUGAUGUGAAAGCCCUGGGCUCAACCUGGGAAUUGCAUUGGAUACUGGCGGGCUAGAGUGCGGUAGAGGGUAGUGGAAUUCCCGGUGUAGCAGUGAAAUGCGUAGAGAUCGGGAGGAACAUCCGUGGCGAAGGCGACUACCUGGACCAGCACUGACACUGAGGCACGAAAGCGUGGGGAGCAAAC